rnacentral:lncRNA from 1 species
UAAUAUAAUUUCUUUGUUCUCAUAUGUUAUUAGAGAAUGUUGAUACAUCAAUUUAGAUUUCGAGCACCAAUUUCGUUACUUAUAUAAGCCAUCUCUUCUUAUAUUUGAUUUGCUGAUAUUGUAGAUAUAUAGAUGAAAGAACACACACAUCUAGGUGUUGUAAGCUGGAGUUUUGUUGAUUUGAUCUAACUAACAGAAAAAAGGGGAUCCUAUCGGAGCAGCCAUGGUACUGCAAAAUUGGUAAGGAUCGUUGCUAUUACUGCUACUUCGGGAGGAGUCAUAUGUUCUCAGUUUAUUUAGUAGUGCAAAAAUUGAUAAGUUACUUGAGCUAUUAUUAUAUUGUCGCAAUUGGAUUACGUUUAUCGUUUUGUUCCAUUUGAAUUUCAUAUUUGCCCUUGACCAGGAACUAUCGAGGCAUUAUUUUGUUAGUAGAACUACUAAUAAAGAACCAUUUUACUUAAUAGAAAAUAUUUUGUUGCCAUUGGAACUUGACCGAGUUGGAAACCAGUUUUAACAAAUUAGUAAUAUGCUUUCUAUCUUACUGCGGUGAGUUGUUAUAUCGUUGGACAUUAACAAUUUUGAAAUUUAGAUUUUAAAGACGGUGAAACUGACGAACACACGCUUCUGCUCAAGUAUAAGUAUCUGUUAGUUCUCUGUCAUUGUUGUUUUAGAACUUUUUCUACUUUAUGUGUGAUAUUUUAAAACUGAUUCAGCCUAUACUUCAAAAUUUUAUGUACUUUGGUCUCAAUAUUGCAUCUUACAAAUUUCUACUGUAGUUUAGAGCAAUGCUUGUAGAAUUUAUAGAUUUUUUUCUACAAUAUAGUCAUUCAUGUAAAUAAAUAAUUUGGAAUGUGGUGAUUUCUCCUGCAGUAUCAUCAUUCAUGUAAAUGCUUUGUACUUCUUGCUUUGGUGAUUCCUCCCUGUUCCUUCAAAAAGAGAACAAAAAGCGGAAUGACAUGAGAGAUUUUGAAAGUCUCUUUAUAUGGCAAAAUUCUAAGCUCUACUACAGCUUGGAUGGAUACCUCCAUUCGAGAAUAGAUCAUAGUGUAAGUAUGUUACUUUCAAGUCCAUUUUUUACCGUUAAUACAAAAUUUCUUGCCUGCAAUAGAAACCACUGUGAGGAUAUCUAUACGUAGUUUCAAAUCCGUGUCACAGAUAAAUUUAACAUUGCUUGUAAUUCGAUCCGUGAGAUAUUGGGUUGUUGCUAACCUACCCAAAUCCAAGUUAUUGUGUACAUUAUAGACAAAUAAAAGGUAACUGAUUAUUCCACUAUUCAAUAAUCUAUAUCCAAGUUAUUAGGAUUUGUUGCUAACCUACCCAAAUCCUAAUAAUCUAUAUCCUCCUGAAAGAAAAGAGUAAGAAAUAAAGACACAAGAAAAUGCAUAUAGCUAAAUUCUUUAUAUCUUGCCAAGAUAUUAGUUUAUGGUGUCUUAAAACUCAGUAUCUAAACAAUAUCAUACAAAGCAAAAUACAAAUAAAUAGGUACAAAUGCACAUACACAGUAAACAACAGAACAUCAACAAAGAGUAGAAAAUUAAUCUCAUAAACUGGAAAUGAAAGACAAAAGACAAUACCAUGUUAUUGACCUAAAAAGUAUUACUUGUAAUUGGCUUAGAGCUUUUAGGCAAUGUUGCUUCAAUACUUGACAUGCAUAUCAAAUGAUCUUUGAAAUUAUGCAACAUAUCUCCAUUUGGUGGACAUCCAAGUUGACAAAGUGAAUAUGAAUCUACACUUCAAAAAGUUAUUUCUCACUCUUUGAUGAACAUAGGAAAAUUAGUACACCACAAAAUGCCAUAAAUUCAUAAAUCUGUGUCAAAUUGCAAUAGAAAAAGCAACCUAAUAGAUGAUUACAACAACCUGAGAUAUUGUUAAACUCAAAUAUCUUCCAAAAUGUACUAGACUAUACUAGAGCUUCUGGAAUAUGCUUCUUUUAAGUUUUUUCCUUAACAUGUAAGAUACUUCAUUUGCAAUCUAAACAUUAGUAGAACAUGUUAACCAAAUAGAGAAUCCUCACAGUCAUAGGUCUCCUUAGCAAAUAAUCCUAAUGUCUCAUUUUGGCCUUUAGUUUUGUUAUACCUGAUGAAAUAUUUACUGAAAUAUACAGGUCGGGUUCUUUGUUCUCUCUUAUUUAUGAUUGUCGAGUCAUCAUUAUGCAUUGUUUUAUUAACUUGCUCUAUCUUAGGAUAAUUUUCAGUUAUUACUUCAGGCUUCUUUAUUAUGUUUAUGAAUCUUUCUUUGUUUUUGUGUUUGUUCUUGAUAAAUUAAGUUUAUUGGGAUUUCUGGAGAGAAUUACACUCUUAUUAUGCUCAUGAUAGCUCUUUUGUUAUUAUGUUCCUUAAUUGUCUUGCUGGAAGUUUGCCACGAUAACAAUCCUUUGAGUUUUAUACCCUGACCGCCUGAUGCCAUCUCAAUUAUUUUUGAAAGAGAAUUAACCUAUAUUAAGAAGUCUAGAACAUGUGGUUUGAAUCAAAGGCACAUAAGAAAAGUCACAUUACCAAUACAAGAGUUAUCUUAUUAGUUGAGUUAUUGAUACCUUUAUUUAUUAAGAAUAUAGAUAUUUUUGAUGAAUGGAAAGCUUUUAGAAGAAAAGCAACUCUUCAGUCAAGAUUAUUACCAAAAGAACAAGGAGGAGUGCAUCCACAAAUUCAUGAUACAAGAUCGUUGUGGAAGUUCACAACUUUGCUGUUCUGUAUGUCUGUAAUGACAUGGAUGAACAUGAUUAUCCCUUUGUGUGCGAGUCUCUGCAACUCACAAGAAAAUUAUGAUCAAUCCUUGAUCUAUAUGCAAGAACUACUUUAGUCAAUUUUGUUAAUUAAACCUUUCACGAAAGAUAAUUCAAUUUCUUACUUGCUGAUUUUUCCUUCUGGUUCAUUUGGAUUUUUAAGUGUCGAAUGAAAACAUAUCUCUAUUUGAUAGAGGCAAUCAAGAUGUGGGACUAUACUGGAUAUGUUAUUGUUGACAGAGGUGAUCAAGUUGAAAAGUGAACAUAUUGGUAGAGCUUUUUUCUAAAAAUAAUAGAUGUAAGUUUUCCCCCAACAAUUUCAUAACUAUUAUUUUUGUUUGUUCCUUUGCUGUUAGAUUUGUGUGCUGUUUAUCGAAUUACAUAAACUUGAUUGUACUUAUUUUUUUGGAUCAGGUGUUUGUACUUUGUUCAUUAGAAAUUGCAGGUAUCAAUCUCAAGUGUGGUUGCACUUCUAUCCACAUGUAAGUGUUGUCUCAUUUGUUAUCUAGAAAUUUGACUUGCAUAGACAAAUUAUUGGUAUUACCACUUUAUAAUUGAUUCGAUUGUUGCUUAUGAUGUUAAUAUUUACAUGUAUUGCUAUAUUCAUUAAAAUUUAUGUCUGGAAAUAGUGGCAGACAAAGCAUAAGCUUGAUGGGUUCAAUUGUGUCGAUUAUCUUCGACCCGAUACAUGACCCAUAUGUGAUUUAAAGAGAGUAAUGUUUUCCGUUGUAAGAACCUAAAGGAUGAAUCUAUGAAAUUUAAACAUUGAAUCCUCUUCUUGUGAAGGCAAUCUUAACCAAUACUUUUCAGUGUGUAGUAGAGAUUACUCCUUACUAGGUGGUUACCAUUUGAGAAUUUUGGUUGGCCUUUUCCUGAAAUUUUAGUGUCAUAUAUAUGAGAUAUGCUAGAGUGAACCUUCAAAACUUCAUAAUUGAAAUUCAUUGUUUUUCCAAGUGUGAUUCCAUCUAUUCUACAAGUUAGCAGACAAUUACAAAAUGAAAAAGAAGAGGGUUAUCAUCAAAGUAAUUCAUAAUUUUUCUGUUUAUCUUAGAACUGCUGAAAAUUUGAGUAAACAUUCAACUGUUAGUACUAUACCCUCCUUUGGAUUGUUAAUAUAGUAGUUCCGACUACUGAGCUUGAAUUGGGUUGCCUCUCUAAUCGAGAUCGUAGUCCUCAAGCACCACUAAGAGAGGCAACCCAAUACAAGCUCUAUCUAAGAUCCUUAUGAUCGGAUGAAUAAUUUUAUCAGUCAUUGUUUAAGUUAUUUUGUUCCAAUGAAGAUAUUCUUAUAAGUAAACUUUUA